GAACCAGCAAUGACAAUGCCUCUACCAUCAGUUGUAAAUCGAGAUCGGACCAUGGCGGACGCGGAAAAAACAUUACGCGACUUAUUAGACCAAGUACUGGACGACAGAGGUUAUAGGCCGAGGGAAAUCGAGGUCAAGGCGAUCGAAACCGGCGGAGCGAACUACACAUCAGUUCUGUUCGUGAUAAACGUUUCAUCACCUGAUCGUGAUGAUCUGAAACUAUUCGCAAAGGUGGCGUGCGUCGGAGAUUCGAUGAGAGGUGUCAUGCACGCCGAUUGGCUCUACGCGACCGAACGUUUAGUGUACAAACAACUGGUCAGAAUAUACCAGGAGAUCGAAGAAGAUCAGCAAGUGGCAACAGAACACAGAUAUGUUUUUCCAAAAUUCUACGGAUGUAACGCGGAAUUUGGCAAAGAAACAGUUGUCAUGGAAGAUUUGGUGGCUAACGGAUACGAAACUUUCGACAGAUUCAAAUCUAUAGAUUGGGAUUAUGCGAGUGUUUGUAUGGAAAAUUUAGCAAAGUUCCACGCCUUAUCUUUCGCGUUUGAAAAGUACAGGCCAGAAACAUUUAAAGAAAUGACAUCAAAUAUGGCAUUCGAAAUAGGUAAUACACAAGAAGAACCAGAUGAGAAUACAAUCGCUAUGUUUACGAAUAUAAUAGAGAACGCCGUUAGUGUGGUUAAAGAAGAGUACAAAGAACGAGUAAGGAACUUAGGACAGACGCAUGUCUUGUGGGAUAAAUUUAACAAGCCGAUUGGAAAGCCGGUUAUAUCUCAUGGGGACUAUAGAAUGAGCAACAUGUUGUUUAGAAAACAGGACGAUCGUCUCCAAGCCAUCGUGGUGGAUUACCAGACGACACACGCGGGCUGUCCGGCCAGUGACCUCAUGUACUACAUAUUCCUGGGCACGGACGAGGAGUUCCGCAGGGAGCAUUAUGAGCGCCUCCUGGACCACUACCACUCGAGCCUGGAGCAAGCGUUGAAGAGGUUGGCGGUGGACCCCAGCGUUUAUACGCGGGAGAAGUUGGACAGCGAUAUGAAAGAGCUGUUGCCCUACGCGGUGCUGCUGGGAGUGGUGGUGCUUCCAGUGGUGACGGUGGAAUCAAACGCUGCGCCCAAGGUUGAAGGCGAUGCUGAUGUCAACAACUUCAUCAUGAAGCCCAACGAGCUCUACGCGAAGAGAUUCAGCGGCAUCGUCAACGACUGCGUGCGGUGGGGCGCCAUAUAACAGCCACAAGUCAUCGUCAACGACUGCGUGCGGUGGGGCGCCAUAUAACAGCCACAAGUCAUCGUCAACGACUGCGUGCGGUGGGGCGCCAUAUAACAGCCACAAGUCAUCGUCAGCGACGGCGUGCGGUGGGGCGCCAUAUAACAGCCACAAGUCAUCGUCCACGACUGCGUGCGGUGGGGCGCCAUAUAACAGCCACAAGUCAUCGUCAGCGACUGCGUGCGGUGGGGCGCCAUAUAACAGCCACAAGUCAUCAUCAACGACUGCGUGCGGUGGGGCGCCAUAUAACAGCCACAAGUCAUCGUCAACGGUUGUCACGGCUAGCCGGCCUAUUCACUAACUUUGUUCAGCUGUAGUGGUAA
rnacentral:misc_RNA from 1 species